ACACAUGCAAGUCGAGCGGAGAUUGAGAGCUUGCUCUCAUGAUCAGCGGCGGACGGGUGAGUAACACGUGAGCAACCUGCCUUUCAGAGGGGGACAACAGUUGGAAACGACUGCUAAUACCGCAUAACAUUGCCGAACGGCAUCGUUUGGCAAUCAAAGGAGCAAUCCGCUGAAAGAUGGGCUCGCGUCUGAUUAGAUAGUUGGUGAGGUAACGGCCCACCAAGCCGACGAUCAGUAGCCGGACUGAGAGGUUGAUCGGCCACAUUGGGACUGAGACACGGCCCAGACUCCUACGGGAGGCAGCAGUGGGGGAUAUUGGACAAUGGGGGAAACCCUGAUCCAGCGAUGCCGCGUGAGGGAAGAAGGUUUUCGGAUUGUAAACCUCUGUGGACAGGGACGAUAAUGACGGUACCUGUUUAGAAAGCCACGGCUAACUACGUGCCAGCAGCCGCGGUAAUACGUAGGUGGCGAGCGUUGUCCGGAAUUACUGGGUGUAAAGGGAGUGUAGGCGG
rnacentral:rRNA from 1 species